rnacentral:rRNA from 1 species
AUUGAACGCUGGCGGCAGGCCUAACACAUGCAAGUCGAGCGAGCGGCGGACGGGUGAGUAAUGUCUGGGAAACUGCCUGAUGGAGGGGGAUAACUACUGGAAACGGUAGCUAAUACCGCAUACCAUCAGAUGUGCCCAGAUGGGAUUAGCUGGUAGGUGGGGUAACGGCUCACCUAGGCGACGAUCCCUAGCUGGUCUGAGAGGAUGACCAGCCAAACUGGAACGUAGUCACGGUCCAGAGUCCUACGGGAGGCAGCAGUGGGUAAUAUGGCACACUGGGCGCAAGCCGGAUGCAGCCAUGCCGCGUGUGUGAAGAAGGCCUGCGGGUUGUAAAGCACUUUCAGCGGGGAGGCGUUACCCGCAGAAGAAGCACCGGCUAACUCCGUGCCAGCAGCCGCGGUAAUAC